rnacentral:tmRNA from 1 species
GGGGCCGUAAAGGUUUCGACGGGGAUUUUGAGGUAUUAUAAGCGGGUAGAGCCGGACAAUCUCUUAAAAGGUCCACCUUUAAAAUUAAACGCUAACGAUAGAAACGUUGCAUUGGCUGCCUAACGGCAGUGCUGCGGCUUAAUGCCGCCCGUUCCGCCGGGGAGGAUCACGACCCCGGUGUGAGCGUCAGGUAAGUGAUGAAUGCGCACCGGCGGUUUGCCGUUGAACCGGUCGUGUAUAAAACGGCUACCCAAGUGAGAAGCCUGUCUGUUGGCGUCCCGCAAGGGGAAUUCCAAAAAACAGAAUGCACCCGGAGAAAGUGAUAUCAAGAGGUUUUCGGACACGGGUUCGACUCCCGUCGGCUCCACCA